GGGGUUGUGGCUCAGUGGUAGAGUGCUCACCUCUCACGAGUGAGACCCUGUGUUCGAUCCUCAGCACCA
rnacentral:tRNA from 1 species